UGCAAGCCCAGUGUCCAGCUUCUCCAUGUAUUGCUUGUGCGUCUGGAGCAGCAUUUGCAACGUCAUCCUCCAAUCACCAAAUGGGCAUCCACAGGAAAAAUUCAAGGCGCCCACCCCUAGCCUCGCGAUAUAGUAGUACAUGAGGGCUGUUCACAUCUUACUCAAGGCGGCGGGACAUGGGAAUCCUCCGAAGGUUUGUCCCUGGGUAUUCCAAACUCCCCAGCUUGUGCGAGCUUAUCACCAAAGGGAUUUGGUUCGGUGAUCGCCAGUUGAAGAUGUAACAGGGGAAAUCAGAAACUGGGAACAAUCCCACCAAGAAGACCUGAAAAAGCCGGCUGUGCUGAUCGACAAAAUGCUGAACGUGGUGAAAAGCUGUGGUGGAAAAGCUGUUGCAAGAUAUG
rnacentral:sRNA from 1 species